ACAAUAGACUACCCGGUAGUCCACGCCCUAAACGAUGCGAACUGGAUGUUGGGUACAUUACGGUACUCAGUGUCGAAGCUAACGCGUUAAGUUCGCCGCCUGGGGAGUACGGUCGCAAGACUGAAACUCAAAGGAAUUGACGGGGGCCCGCACAAGCGGUGGAGUGUGUGGUUUAAUUCGAUGCAACGCGAAGAACCUUACCUGGCCUUGACAUCUGUCGAAUCCUGCAGAGAUGCGGGAGUGCCGCAAGGAACGACAAGACAGGUGCUGCAUGGCUGUCGUCAGCUCGUGUCGUGAGAUGUUGGGUUAAGUCCCGCAACGAGCGCAACCCUUGUCCUUAGUUGCCAGCACGUAAUGGUGGGAACUCUAAGGAGACUGCCGGUGACAAACCGGAGGAAGGUGGGGAUGACGUCAAGUCCUCAUGGCCCUUACGGCCAGGGCUACACACGUACUACAAUGGUCGGUACAGAGGGUUGCGAAGCCGCGAGGUGGAGCCAAUCCCAGAAAGCCGAUCCCAGUCCGGAUUGGAGU
rnacentral:rRNA from 1 species